GAGGCUUGAGAUGACUUCGUCCAAAGAAGACUGACUUCUGCUCCUUAAAGGCACUUAGCAGAGUGGUCAGCUUAAUCUAAUCAGAGCUUGAGGUCGUUUGAGGCUGAUUUUCAGGCUUUGUGAAGUCUGCCUCAUGCACUUGCUUUUGCCAGUUCCUUACCCUACCCAGGCUUUUGUGCUGUUCUGAUAUGAAUUCUCAAACACUGGCAUUAGUAGUUUACACCCCUGUGGUAUGUAACAUUCAUAAAAUGUUCAGAAAAUGAUAGGUAAGGAAUAGGCGUGGAGACGGGGUGGAAAUGGCAGAAAUGGAACUUAAAAAGCUUUUUUCCAGCCUGUCCCUCAGUGCUGUCUCCUGCAGCCCUUCUCCCCAGGCUGUAGCCACCCACCUCCCAUGCACAUUUCAAACACAUACCCCAUGGCUCCCCAGGAAGAGCUUGCUUUGUUGUUCUUGCUGUGGCUGUUUGGUUUCUGUAUUUAAAACUUUCCGUCACUUCCAUAGUUUCUGCAGGGUUGGUUUUUGGGAAGGGAGCCAGCAGCCCAUGCUAUUCACCAUCUUGGCAGGAAUUAGAAUCCCCUUCCAAUAUCUUGCAUUCAUUCCAAGAUAUUGUGUGGCCCUGUCAAAUUUAGAAAUGUAUACGCAGCAGUCUUUAUCUAAAAGGAUACAGAAUAAAGGUUAUUGGUGAAUACUGGUUUACUUUUGCUUGUUCCAAUUUAUUUUAUUAUUAUUAUUGUUAUUAUUUUAAAUUGACCACUAUCAGAAAAGCUUGUUAUAGCCAGGCGCAGUGGCCCACACCUGUAAUCCCAGCACUUUGGGAGGCUGAGGCAGGUGGAUCGCUUGAGGUAGGGUUCAAAACCAGCCUGGCCAACAUGGUGAAACCCCAUCUCUACUAAAAAUAUAAAAAUUAGCUGGGUGUGGGGGCACAUGCUGGUAGUCCCAACUACUCAGGAGGCUGAGGCAGGAGAAUUACUUGAACCCAGGAGAUAGAGGCUGCAGUGAGCUGAGAUGGCGCCACUGCACUCCAGCCUAGGCGACAGAGCAAGACUCUGGCUCAAAAAAAAAAAAAGAAAAGCUUAUUCUAAUUUAUAGAUGAUGAAUUAUAAUAGAUCAAACUGGAAAGGGAACACAUUUGACACUGUUUAUUUUAAUCACCAGUAUUUAAAUGAUAUUCCUAUUUUUUUUUACGAAAUGCGGUAUCUUUUCUGUUUUAUAUUCCUACUCAUUUGUUUUAAUUAAAAUUAUUAUUUAAUUUUAACAUUCAGCUUAACCAGAAACAGAAAAUUUAUCAUUAAUGUAUUUUCAUACUUUAUAUUUCAGAACUACGUUACUUUUAACCCAACAAAUAAUAAAGAAUUGGUGAGCAAUAGUAAAACACGGGCAAUAUAUUAUGCAUGGGUAAGCAGAAAUAUUUUGAUUUGUUUUAAAUGUGGGUAGAAGUAUGUGUUCAUUCUUUGAGUACAAAUGUUUCAGUAAUGUAACAAUAUAGUAUCUCUACUUAGGAAGCAAUGAAUAUAUAUUAAAAUGUUUUUAUUUAACUGUAGUAUUUAGUCCUAUUAGAAAUUAGCAUAUUAAAUCAAAAGCAAAUAAUCCAAUUUUAUUUAUUAAAUUUUAUUGAAGUAAUGAGGCAAAUGUUUAUUUGAAUUUAUUUAACAAGACUAAAAUACAAGUUUUAUGGUUUUUUUGGAGAUGAGGUCUCACUAUGUUGCCCAGGCUGGCCUCAAAUUCCUGGGCUCAAGUGAUCUUCCCGCUUAAUCCUCUCAAGUAGCUGGGAUUAGAGGGGUGAGCCGGCCACACCUGGCUCUAAAAUACAGCAGGUUUUUUUUUUUUUUUUUUUUGAGACCUUGGUCUUUUUUCCCUUUUAGAAAGGAAUUAGCAAACAGAUUAGUGAUACAUAUACUGACACAGGGCAAAAUCAUGAGAAUAAAAAACAUUGAGGCUGAGCACAGUGGCUCAUGACUGUACUUCCAGCACCAUGGGAGGCCAAGGCAGGAGGAUCACUUGAGGCCAGGAGUUUAAGACUAGCCUGAGCAACAUAACAAGACCUCAUCUCUACAAAAAAUUAUUUAAAAAAAUUUAACAGUGCAUGGUGAUGCAUGCCUGUAGUCCCAGCUGCUCAGAAGGCUGAGGCUGGAGGAUUGCUUGAGCCCAGGAGUUUGAGACUGCAAUGAGCUGUGAUGGUGAUGGUGCCACUGCACUAUAGCCUGGGCAACAGAGUGAGACUCUGUCUCAACAAAACAAAACACAACAAAACAAAAAACGUUUCAAGUUAAACAUGGAAUAGCUAUGUGACUCAGCAAUUCCAAGGUAAGAUGUAAAAGAAUUGAAAAGAAGCAUUCAAACAAAUACUUCUACACAAAUGUUCACAGCAGCAGCAGCAGCACUAUUUGUAAUAACCAAAAGGUAGAAACAAGCCAAGUGUUCAUCAACUGAUGAGUAGGUAAACAAAAUGUGGUCUAUCCAUACAAUGGAAUGUUAUUGUAUGAAGUGCUGAUACAUGCUGUGACAUGGAUCAGCCUUGAAAGUAUGAUGCUAAAUGAAAGACACCAGACACGAAAGUCACGUGUUGUAUGAUGCCAUUUCUAUGGAAUGUCCAGCAUAGGCAAGUCCACAGAUACAGAGUAAACUGGUGGUUUUCAAGGCCUGGAGAGAGACGGAGUGGCUGCUUAAUAGGUAGGAGAUUUCCUUUUGGGGUUAUGAAAAUGUCUUGGAUCUAGAUGGUUGCUCAGCAUUGUGAAUGUAUGAAACACCGCUGAAUUGCACACUUUAACAUGGUUAUGAUUAAUUUUAUGUUAAGUGGAUUUUACCUCAAUAAAAAAUUGUAGAACAAAACCAAAACACAUUGAGUCACUGAUUGUGAGUGAUAGUCAUUAUUUAAGAUAUUUAUUAUAGCUUUAUUUUAUUUUAUUUUUGAGAUGGGGUCUCACUCUGUCAUCCAGGCUGCAGUGCAGUGGUGCGAUCUCAGCUCACUGCAACCUCUGCCUCUCAGGUUCAAGCAAUUCUCCUGCCUCAGCUUCCUGGGUAGCUGGGAUUACAGGAACCUGCCACCACACCUGGCUAAUUUUUGUAUUUUUAGUAGAGACGGGGUUUCUCCAUGUUGGCCAGGCUUGUCUCAAACUCCUAACCUCAAGUGAUCUGCCCGCCUCAGCCUCCCAAAGUGCUGAGAUUAUAGGCGUGAGCCACCGUGCCCAGCCGAUUGUGACUUUACAUAGUACUUAAUGCAAAUUCGAAUUCUCUAUUAAUAAGCCUUUAAAACUUUAAUAAAUACCUUAAGGUCGGCCGCAGUGGCUCACGCCUGUAAUCCCAACACUUUGGGAGGCUGAGGUGGGCGGAUCACCUGAGGUCAGGAGUUCGAGACCAGCCUGGCCAACAUGGCAAAACCCCAUCUCUACUAAAAAAAAAAAAAAAUUAGCUGGGCAUGGUAGUGCGCUCCUGUAAUCCCAGCUACUCAGGAGGCUGAGGCAGGAGAAUUGCUUGAACCCAGGAGGCGGAGUUUGCCGUGAGCUGAGAUCGCGCCACUGCACUCCAGGCUGGGCGAUAGAUGUGUUUCUGCUUGAAGACACCUUAUUUAAUAUAGAACUCCAUCUCAAGAAAAAAAAAGUCAUAAUCAUUUGUGGCAUUUUUUAUAUUUUUUAUGUAUUUGCUUUUCUUUCAGAAUGUUUUUAGAUAUUUCCCAAGACAGCAAGUUCUCUUACCUGUAGAAACUGCAAAUUUCUGACCUUGUUUAGAUGUAUUUGUUUUGCUUUUAUUAUUAAUGCCGUUCUUCCUUUGGAAACUGGGUCUUUUUGAGUAGUGAUUAUUUUUUCCUCUUAUCAGUAUGAAGAGAGGGAUACACUGGCUCACAGUGCCCCACUUUUAACUGAAAAAGGGAACAAUGAGGUCUUGACAUGGUUUUACAAAGAGAAAUGCAAAUUGUCACCCUCACUCAGUGGAGCGAGAAGAUAGGAGAACUGCAGUUGGCCAUGCAAUCAACCUUUAAUCGGUUGGGGUUUAGGAUCCAGUGGAGACCAGGCCUGGGUUCUCCAAGUUAAUAAAACCCAGUCAGGACCUGGGAGUCCAAGAAGGAAAAGGUCUCUGGAAAUACUUGCUACAUUGUCACAGGUGACAUUAAGGGGAACAUUAAGUUCUAUGAUCACACCCUGUCUAUUGUUAACUGGUACAGUCACUUGAAACUGGGCGCCAUAAGAACUCUGUCCUUUUCAAAGACCCCAGCAACUCCUCCUACUGAAAAAUCAAACUAUCCUCCUGACUGCACUUUAAAAGGUGACCUUUUUGUCUUAAGGAAUUUUAUCAUUGGAACAUCUGAUGCCGCGGUGUACCACUUAACAACAGAUGGGACCAAACUUGAGAAGUUAUUUGUAGAGCCCAAGGAUGCCAUUUGUGCCAUCUCCUGCCACCCAUAUCAACCCCUCAUUGCCAUCGGGAGCAUCUGUGGGAUGAUCAAAGUGUGGAAUUAUGAAAACAAACAAUAUCUUUUCAGCAGGGUUUUUGAGAAGGGGCUUGGAGUCCAGAGUCUGACCUACAACCCCGAAGGAGCCCUUCUUGGAGCUGGCUUUACAGAGGGGACAGUUUACAUUCUUGAUGCAAUGUCUUUAGAAAAUGAAAGCCCAGAGCCUUUCAAAUAUUCCAGAACCAGUGUGACUCAUAUAAGCUUUUCCCAUGACUCCCAGUAUAUGGCAA
rnacentral:lncRNA from 10 species